rnacentral:rRNA from 1 species
AAAACAUCGCCUCUUGAAAAACAUAAGAGGUCCAGCCUGCCCAGUGACAUCUGUUAAACGGCCGCGGUAUCCUAACCGUGCGAAGGUAGCGUAAUCACUUGUCCUUUAAAUGGGGACUAGUAUGAAUGGCAUCACGAGGGUUAUACUGUCUCCUUUUUCUAAUCAGUAAAACUAAUCUCCCCGUGAAGAAGCGGGGAUGCAUCUAUAAGACGAGAAGACCCUAUGGAGCUUCAAACAUAACAGCACUCGCUAUUACACACGCUAAUCUCAGGAAAAUAACCUUUAUUUUAGCAUUCUGUCUGUAAGUUUUAGGUUGGGGUGACCGCGGAGUAAAAAAUAACCUCCACACUGAAAGGGACCUUCCCUAAGCAAAAAGUCACAACUUUAUGCAUCAAUAAAUUGACACCAAUUGACCCAAUAUUUUGAUCAACGAAACAAGUUACCCUAGGGAUAACAGCGCAAUCCACUUCGAGAGCCCUUAUCGACAAGUGGGUUUACGACCUCGAUGUUGGAUCAGGGUACCCCAGUGGUGCAGCCGCUACUAAAGGUUCGUUUGUUCAACGAUUAAAACCCUA